rnacentral:rRNA from 1 species
UACGGAGGGUGCAAACGUUGCUCGGAAUCAUUGGGCGUAAAGCGCACGUAGGCGGUCUUUUAAGUCGGAUGUGAAAGCCCCAGGCUCAACCUGGGAAGUGCAUACGAAACUGAAAGGCUGGAGUACGGAAGAGGGUCUCGGAAUUCCCGGUGUAGAGGUGAAAUUCGUAGAUAUCGGGAGGAACACCAGUGGCGAAGGCGGAGACCUGGGCCGAUACUGACGCUGAGGUGCGAAAGCGUGGGGAGCAAACAGG